AUGGCGUCGGGAUCAAGCUCGCAGGGGCGGCAUGGCAAGGAGACGAUGGAGGAGCUGCUAGCCAGGUUGAAUUUGCAGGAGGAGGAAGAUGAUGAUUUCGUGUGGAAGGAGGAGUUGCCGGAUCUGGGGGCGCUGGCGAAGUGGCUAGCCAUAGCCAGGGUACACACUACAAGGACUUUCAGCCCUAAUGCUCUUUAUGGGGACAUGCGUGCAGCCUGGAAUCCAGCGAAAAUGGUGGUCUGGAGGAAGGUGAAGGACAACUUGUUCACAGCGCAG
rnacentral:rRNA from 1 species